GACAGAGGGUGCAAACGUUGUUCGGAAUUACUGGGCGUAAAGCGAGUGUAGGCGGUCUCGUAAGUCGGGUGUGAAAGCCCUGGGCUCAACCCAGGAAGUGCACUCGAAACUGCGAGGCUAGAGUACUGGAGAGGUUGGUGGAAUUCUCGGUGUAGAGGUGAAAUUCGUAGAUAUCGAGAGGAACACCGGUGGCGAAGGCGGCCAACUGGACAGAUACUGACGCUGAGGUGCGAAAGCGUGGGGAGCAAACAGG
rnacentral:rRNA from 1 species